CCCCAUUGGGAUACGCAAACAUUUCAACAAACACUUUGAAAGGAAAUGUACCAAAGGCCAAAAAGCAUAUAAAAGUGUACACUGCCACUCUCAGGAAAUGCAAAUUAAAACCACAAUGAAAUACCACUGCACACCUGUUAAAUAAUUUAAUAAAAUUAAAGUGAAAACGUCUGACAACAGUAGGUAUCGGCAAAGACGUGGAGCACGUGGAUCUCUCUUAUGUUGCUGUGGGAAUGUGAAAUGGUUGGACAAACAACCUGGCAGCUUCUCAAGAGUUAAACAUACACUCACCGUAUGAGCCGUCACCGCUGCCCCUAGGUAUCUGCGCGAGAGAAAUGGAACCGUGUGCACACAGACUUGUACACAGAUGUUUAAUCAUAAUAGCCAAAAACCAGAAACAACGCCAACAUCCACCAACAGGUGAAGGAUAAACAGAUUGGAGUAUAAUGUAAGGACGGAAGAUACUCAGCAGGCGACAUGAACAGACUGCUGACACACAAAGCCACUGGAUGAAUCUGGAAAUCAUGCGAAGCAAAGAAGGGUGGUUUCCAGUGCACGCUCUAGAAAGAACUGUGUUGGUGUGGAGGACGGAUUGAACGGGAGUGACCAGAGCGAGGAGUCCUCCUUCGAGAACUACUGAAAUAGUCGAGGUGAGAGAAGACAAGAGGGAUUAAAGUAGGGAAACGGAGAGACAACAAGAGACAUGAAGGAGUCCCCCUGGCACUUUGACGGGGUACGUGACUGCAGGGAAAGGGACAAGGACAGCAGCGCCUCUUAGAUUGGAGUGGUGGACCUUACCCGUUGUUGCCUGAUGAGAAUCGAUUCUCUCUCCUGGAAGCAGACCCUAAAUUCCUUUUGGGGAACAGUCUCUAACCCACUCUGUCCUUGUAUUUCCAGAGGGGCUCCACCUCAGCCUAAGCAUGUCAUUCAGUACCUGGCCAGUUACACAACCGGGUCUUCCUCAAUACAGGGAUUGGUUCCAGAAUGAACACUGGAUCCAGUCAGAGUGAAUCCCAGGGACUUGGACUGAAGUUACCAGGAAGAGGUGUUUUCUUCCCACUGCACUUGAACCUGGAAGAGAUGAGCCUGAAGCUGCCAGGAACCAGCAUGUAAGGAGGGCCUACCCCAGACUGCAGCAAACGGAGAGAGACCCACCUGAGAGAUGAAGAGAGGCCAGGUCCUGAGGACGUCACUUAAGGCCCUGGGCUUUGCUUAGUCCUAAGUUCAAGGGUCCAUUUACGGAUGCAGGUGGCUUGCAACAGAAAGGGCCUUGACUGCUCUACUUGAAGGUGGAGAACUGGGAGAGGAUGGGAAGGUGAUGAGUUUCAUUUUGGACACAUUGAUCAGGGGGCCCCGUGGAUCAUCCAGUUGGCAGUGUUGGAAAGAUAGAGGCGUGCGAUUCAUUCCUUUGGAGACCAUAGUUUAAAUCAACCGUGGAUUUCAGGGUCCAAGCCUGGGCCAUAUUCUCAGCAAACAGCCCUCCUGACUGUUUCAUCGAUGGGCUCCAGAGUCCAGCAACCUGUGGGGGAUCCCAGCUGGGCCUUCUACUUGCUGUGCAACUUUACCCCCAGUCGGAAUGAGUCACAGCCCCGGCUUGUAGCCUGAAGAGCUCCACCGGCCCUUCCUUCACAGUUCAUGCGUGUUACGAGUCGCCUUCCGUCUGUCUGUGUGGGUAUUUGGUCCAUGAUGAUGAGCUUGUGUGGACAGGGGCCUUCGCUGCUCACCUAGGCGUCCCCAGCCCCUGGCAGACAGCCUGGCACAGCAGAUGCUCAAUAAAUACUUGCAGACCAGAUACCAUUGCCAGCGUGCGUCUCCCAGUAAACUGGGGACUCUCCUGGGGCAGGGACGUGUCCUGUCUUGUUCAUCAUUAUAGCCCCAAACUCAGAGCCUUGCACAGAGAAGGCUCUUGUGGGAUAUUUGGUAAAUGAAUGAAUUUGCUGCAGAAGAAAAAAGAAAGCAAGAGCAGCCAUAACCACAAAAUCAAGGAAGCUGACCUAGUUUGGGGCAAGAACUGCUGAGAAUGAGGAGAUUCUGAGUCCUUUCAUUUCAAAAGAAUUGUUCCACAUGCUUCACUGAGCCAGGUCCCUGGGGAACCAUGACAUCAGGGAAAGCUGACUGAGCCUGAGACAAGAUCAACUAAAUUACUCCAACUGGUCGACCUCUGCCGACUCUCAUGUCUGCCCACUUGCUCUUGGACAGUUGAAGGAGAGAGGUGACCCUAACACAAUCCAGGACAGCUCUGAAAAAGGAACAGACAUCAAAAACCACAAACUUUCCAAUAUUCUAAGUUUGUGAACAAAGUAGAAUGUCUGGAAAUGGGAGGUAAAGGAAGAAUGGCUACAAUAUAUAAAGAGCUCAUUAAAAUAAACAAGACAAACAUCAAGAGUCCAAGAUAUGUGAGCAAAGAGCAUGAAAAGAUCAUUUACAUACAAAGAAAUCAGAGUAAAGCAGCUGACAUUCAUGGAGUGCUUAUCCUGGGGUAAGCAUCCCAUCAAGAGUUUUACAUAUCAGGGGCUGGGCUGUGGUCGAGUGGUUGAGUUCCUGUGCUCUGCUUUGGCAGCCUGAGGUUCCCCAGUUCAGAUCCUGGGCGCAGACCGACACACCGCUCAUCAGGCCAUGCUGUGGUGGCAUCCCACAUAAAAAAGCCAGAAUGACCUAGAACUAUGAUAUACAGCUAUGUACUGGGGCUUUGGGGAGAAAAAAAAAAGAGGAAGAUUGGCAACAGACGUUAUCUCAAGACCAAUCUUCCUCACCACAAGAAGCAUACCAAAAAAAAAAGUUUUACAUCUUAUUUAAUCAUCACAGGAAGUCCAGCAAGAAAAUUCAACCAACAAAUGUGAAGUUAGGUGACUGUGACAUGUUCCUCAUUUUUUCUAUAGUAUCUAUGAAAUGCUGUAAUCUUUUUGUUUGUCCCAAGAAAACUCUUGCAUUGCUGUCUUAAUGAAAUCUCUCCAGCCCUGCUGGUCUCUGCAGGAUAUAAUUCAUUCAUUCAGCUGUGAAAGGCCGGAAAAUGUUUACAUAUUCACAACUCCGAUGUCUGUGUCUGGAAUAAAAUUAACUUAUUUCUGAGUUGUCUGGGUUCUGUGGGUAACGUGAUUACUAUCAUAUAGUCAAGCUACUCUUGAAAGACUCGUUUAGCAGUCCUGAGGAAUAGUAGAAACAUGAAAAUACGUUGUAAGCUUUUAGGGCAAAGACCGUGCUUUGAUUCUGGUUCUCUGAAAGUGCUCCUGGGCCUAAAGCUCCUAUAAAUACACAGAUGAAAAGAAAGUGAUUGGCUGAACUGGAAAAAAAAAAAAAGGGAUCGCAAGGACCCCAUGAGGAGGCGGCAUCAUCCCUCUUAUAUCUGCCUGUCUGGGGCUGGAGGUUCGUGAACUGACCGCGCUCACCUGCUCUGAACCAGCGCGUUGGGAAGAUUUAUCCUCAGGACGAUCCUAGAAGAGCAGGUGAAGGCAGCCCCGGGGGACUGGUUUACUAGUACCAAGUUAGCCAGACCACGGGUAAGGCCACGCCCGGUCCCGGCAGGCGUGCAGAGAAAUUCACAGCCGUACCCUGCAGCCGGCGGCAUUGCACAUUGGUGUCGCUCUUUUGAAAAUAAACGGGAUGACACCCAGAAAGAAGCCAUACAACGAUUUAUGUUCUUGGUCCCUAUAAGCCUCUGUUGAAAUUCAUCCCCAGGAAAAGGUCUAAAAGACGCAAAAAGCCACAGCUGCUAAAAUAUGUACGGUAUCGUCAACAGCAAAAAACCCUGGACACAACCUCUGUGUCCAUUAGGCGAAGAACUUACCAAAAAUAUGGGAAGGCCACAUGGAGGCAUUGGAUAAAGCCAUUAAAAUGGGCUUUAAAGUGAAAAUUGUGAGGAUUUUGUGGAAAUACAGAAAACACCUAACGAAGUGCUAAGUAAACAUGGUGCGUCAUAAGCACGAGAGAGGGGCCCUCUGGACAAGCUCGUCUGUGCUGAGCUGCGGCCGAGGGCCCACUGCGGGCAGGAGCAUGGCACUUGCUCGGGCAGUUGGUGAAUGAAUGCCCAAUGUAUUUUGCAUUCAUUUUUUUCUUUCUUGUCACGACACCAUCUUUUUAAUAAUACUAAAUAAAUAUUCUAAAACAAUGAACCCAUGGAGGGACCAUCUGCUCUGGGAAGCCCCUGGCCCGGGAACUGUGGGAAAGACAGGAAGCAGAAAGGUCAGCGCGCCCCAGGGAAAUCCCACUGUCGGCCGGGUGGGCGGCACGCAGGGGAACCCGCGGCUCUGGGAGCAGGACGCUGGUGACCACAAUGACCCGUUCUCAAAGCGGUCCGCUCUCUUUGAAGGAUCACAUGAGUU
ensembl:lncRNA